GGAAAGGGGAGGGGCAGGCGGGGAUGAUGAGCAGCCACAAUGACAGAAGCAUCUCCGUUCUGUCGCCCUGCGCCUGUCAGCAGUCAGUCACUAACCGACUUGAUUACAAGUCUGAAAGUCCGCUAGUGACCAGGCCAACGGCGGUUGCUGCUGAACUACGCCCCCCAGGCUCGCAGUUUGGUGACCUACUUCGGGACAAAAGUUCCCCCUUUUUUCUUUUUUUUUUUAGAAACGUCGUGGUGAACUUGCUGAAGAUUUGGAAGUCAUUCCUUAUAAUCCGUUUUGCUCUUGGGGUGCGCGCCAAGACAACAAAUGCGUGGACCCAAAGCUUCCGAUUGGAGUGUCAGGGAUAAUCUGUGGAGCUGGGGUAUCUAGCAGACCUCAGGCUGACCACCAGGAUCUUGGAGACCACUGUCCCACCUACCAUGGAGCAUGAACUGAGAAAUGGCCUGUCUAUAUGGAGCAUCGUGGCCAUUGUUUGCAACUCGGUGGUAGGCUUUCUCAUUGUCAUCCUCUUUGUCAUCCUCUACAAGGCCUGCAAGGUACCUUCACACCAAGAGAAAGUGCCUGCUUUCGCAGCAAAGCUGGAGCAGAAGAAGGAUGAACAGAGGUAUAUGCUGACUGCAGCCUAAUCGAGACCCAUAGAUAUGAACACUAAUGGAGCUGGACAUCAUAUAUGCAUGCCGUUACAUUCCCUCGGUAUCUCCUUUUGUGUUACAUAGAUGACUGUUUACGUCUCUGCAUCUUGACUGUGCCAGUGAGUGAAGCUCAGAGUAAGCUAACUGCAUUAAGAGUUGUGGCAAGACCAACAACAACAACCGGGCCCAAUCCUCUUAUCUCUGCUGUGCGUCGCGGGGACUGUCCAUCUGUCAGUCAGUUUGGUUUUGCUCGGCACAGAUACACCAUGAUCUCCUCCUCUGCUCUGUUCCUUUUCAACCCUCCAUUUGAAGCCACAGAGUGGAUUUGGAGGACAAACAGCAAAGUUAACUGGAAGAGAGGAACUGAGGUGACAAGGUUGGUCGAGAGGCACAAAGACAUAAAAUCAAAUUUUUAGUGGUAAAGAGAAAAAGCAACAGCAGCUGGGAUUUUUUUUUCCCCAUAGCUGCACACUAAUGAUGCCAGCAACAGAGCGGCAGAAACACGACAGGUAGACACUAAAAACCCAAACGAGGCAGAAAGAAGAAAGGUGUAGCUGGAGGAAGUGUGUCAGUCAAGACAGACAGAGAUAAAGUUUGGUUUAUAUUUGGUGGGGAUUGAUGAAGUGCAAGGGUAGGAUAGGAAAGGGGAUCCUUUGAUGUGUUGUUGACAGAAAAGAAAGCUCGAGGGCCCUGUUUGAUAGUCUCCCUGUUUGACACACAAGUCUCUGCUUCCACUGAUCCAACUCCCACGGGAUUAAAUGUAACAGUAAAAUGCGUUACUCGUGUCCUGGUGUGCCUCGCUUUCAUUCUGUGGGUUUCUCCAAAGACUGAAUAAGAUGUUUAUGAGCAGCCAUCAUCGGAAAUGACACGACUUACAGAACAGGAGUGAGCAGUGUGUUUAUUGUAGUGAAUGUUCUCCAGCUGUUAACUGUGUGAUAUAAAGAUUAUGUUGAGGAUGGAAGAGAGAUAAGAGCCAACAGACUGACUGGCAAAAUGACAAAACGUAUGCAUAUAUGUAUGCAUGCAAUAGAUAUUGUUUCAACUACUGAGAGGGCUCUGUGUUUUAAUGCUUUUAUUUUGUAGUUUUGAAAACAGGAUCUCAGGUUAACUUAAUAAUACAUGUAUUGUACACAUUUUGUGUUCUACUUAAUUUAAUGGGGAUACUUGUACAAUGAUAAUGCUGAUACUGCUACACCUGCUGGAUUGAUUAGUGGCUAAAUUCUGGAAUAUUUCUGAAUCAUAUAAAUCCAAAUUAUAAUGCAGCUUCUUAUAUGUGAAGGUUUUUAUAUUUCAUGUCAUUGAACCCUGAACCACAGCUUCCCUUGGCUUCCAAAUACACCCAAAUUAGGUUCAUUCUACGUUUUCCAAAGGUGUGAAUGUGAGCAGGAAUGACUAUUACUUUGUGUUGACCCUAUGAUAAACUGGUGACCUGUCCAGGGUGCACCCUGAUUCCCUAUGACAGCUGAGAUAGGCUCCAGCAAUCCCUGCUGGAUAGGUACUUAAGGAAAAUGAGAGAUGGACAAAAAAGCAAUCGCAGUAUCAUUCAGCAUCAUUGUGAAUUAAGCAGCUUUGUUUUAUUUUUGCCACACAAUGACAUGAAGUUAUCUUUGGCACUGAAUAUGCUUCUUUUCUUCUUUUUCUUUUAUUUAUAAUGAACUAAACGAUCACUCAAAAAACAUUCAAAAGAAUAGCUGAUCUUGAAAAUAAUCAUUUGUUGCUGCCUUACAGAUUAAUGCUAUUGUCCUCCGUGCCAUGCAAUCUUGAUGGUCUAUUUUGUAUCAACAAUAAACUCAUUUACUCUUGUUUCUAACUAAUGUGGUCUGCAAUCAGUGUUGCUAUGCCCUUUCAGUGUGUAUCACCAUCAUUUCCCCUCCAAA